ACAAGCAGCGGAGCGUGUGGUUUAAUUCGUUGCUACACGAAGAACCUUACCUGGGUUUGACAUAUAAGUUGUAGGGAACUGAAAAGGGACCGACCCUUCGGGGAGCUUAUACAGGUGUUGCAUGGCUGUCGUCAGCUCGUGUCGUGAGAUGUUCGGUUAAGUCCGCUAACGAGCGCGACCCUCGCCGUAUGUUACAAGUGUCAUACGGGACUGCCGGUAAAAAGCCGGAGGAAGGUGAGGAUGAUGUCAAGUCAGCAUGACCUUUAUAUCCAGGGCUACACACACGCUACAAUGGUCUGUACAAUUGGUUGCCAAGCCGCGAGGCGGAGCCAAUCCGUAAAGCAGGCCUCAGUUCAGAUUGCAGUCUGCAACUCGACUGCAUGAAGCCGGAGUUGCUAGUAACCGCAGGUCAGCAAUACUGCGGUGAAUACGUUCCCGGGUCUU
rnacentral:rRNA from 1 species